GCCUGCUGAGAUGCAUAAAGAAAUCUUAGCUGGAAUGCCUUCUCAGAAUCUUGAUUUUCAAAGUGAUGGAUUGGGAGAUCCCAAGCCAUGAAUAAAGGGUGCUCAUCACAGAUGGAACAAUGGCGAGAGCACACCUGGACAGGGGAGGGGCAGGAGUUCUGAUUCCUGACACAGGUUUCCUGGUUGAAUGUUGCUGUUGUGGAAGAAUGCAACUGAGUUUUAUAAGCAGAUCUUGUUCCUGACAUCCUUGCUGAAUGAAAGUGACCGGCCCUCCCUAAGACUCAGUGUCCUUACCUCUGAAAUGGAGCUGUCAAUCACAUCUGCCUCACAGGCUUGUUCUGAGGAUGAAGUGAGAAAAUGCCCACAAGGUGCUGGUUGCAGCAGCUGGUGAGUAGAGCUUAAAAAGGAUGCAGUCCCAAAACAUAGAAGGAUUUACUCCAGAUCCAAGCAGUGAGUCAGGAACAGAAAGCCUGAUGCCCUCACCUGGAACUCUCCCUCCUCCCUGGAUAAGGACCUUCCCCAGAAUUGCAGGGCACCCACACAAGACCAAGCAAGUUCAGAGAAAAGUGAAACCUGACUUUAGAGCCUCUGGGAUGUUCACUACACCUCAUUGAACCUGUUUGGUUCACAGAGCUCCAACUACCGUCUACUCCCUGCAACUGGCCUGCUGCCAACGCCCCAGAUCUCUUGUGGAGCUGCCGGAAGAGACAGCCUGCCACAGAAGAAAGCAGCCCUCCUUUUUCAUGGCCUCCCACAUCUCGAAACAAACAAAAGCAAACAAAACAAAAGCUUGAGUCCCAGCCUGAUUCACCAGGUUUGGUUCCCAAUUGUUGAAAUUCCCUUCCCAGGGCUCUCAGAACCAGGGUUGGCUGGAGGGGUGAAAGAGGCUGGCCCUGAGCCCAAUAAUAGGAUACCAAGCGGGAGCUAAAAGCUGGGAUCUGGGGUGAAGAUGGGGUCUUCCAAGCUGGGAGGCAGACACCAGGCCAGAGCAACCAGCCUGCCCCAGCUCAGGCCUCUUAACCCAUGCAGAGCAAGAGUAUAAACAGAGGCCACGGACCACAUGCCUCAGUAUUUAAAGUUAUAAAUCGAGCUAACGUAACAUGAAAUCAAAUAUGUUCUAUCCUCCUAGCUUGACAAAUACUUUCAUAACGAGAUGGAAUGCCAGGUUCAGAUUUAGAAUUUUCACACUCCUUAAAGUUCCAAGUCAAAAUACAGCAUUAGGGGAGGGCCCCCAACCUGGAGGUCUCCCCUCCUCCAUUUUCUUUCACUCCCAGCUCUGUCUCACACACCACAAGGGAUCUUGGGUGAAUGCCCCUCGAUACCCCAGCCCCCCACAAACAGCUGCCCUUUCCCCCCUUGGCCAAGGGUAAGCACAGCAGCAGGGCAGUCUGCCCUUGGCUGAAGAGAUGGAAGGAGAGGCAACACGGGCCCUGAAAAUGCAUUUGGGGACUCUUGGGCAGGGAAUUUGGGAGUUUCUGGAGCCUCAAGGAUGGUCUAGUGGGACAGAGCCACUUGGCCCAUGAGCUCCUUGACUCAUGGGGAAGGGUAGGGCUAGAGGAGGGCCAGAGCAGGCCUUAUGAACAGAAGAACCUAGAGUAACUGCCCUGUCCCCAGAUCCUGUCACCGAGCGGGCAUACUUGGGAGGGUAUUGGAGAGUGGAACCCAAGGGAGCUUGCCCAAGGCACAAGGAAAAAAAAGUGUAAACCUUGUUAGAGAAUGCUAAGGAUAGCGGUUAAAGCCUCAGAGAUUCUACUCAUUUUUGGCUCUUUCUAAAAAUCUUCCCCCAAAGGAAGAUCUUGCUCUCAUUGAGGAUCUGAGAAAGAAUUCUCUCCAAGUAGUUUCAAAACAUUCUGAUGGAAAAACUCUGGUGUGUUAGUCAAAAAUAAAUUUUGUUUAUUUUUGCUUGAUGGCUUCACCAUUCACAAAAUAUUCUAUCCAUCCAAUUUAAAAAUAAGAGCAGGGUAUUGAAAACUCUUUCAAUAAACACAAAAC
rnacentral:lncRNA from 1 species